AGCUAACGCGUUAAGUCGACCGCCUGGGGAGUACGGCCGCAAGGUUAAAACUCAAAUGAAUUGACGGGGGCCCGCACAAGCGGUGGAGCAUGUGGUUUAAUUCGAUGCAACGCGAAGAACCUUACCUACUCUUGACAUCCAGCGAACUUGGCAGAGAUGCCUUGGUGCCUUCGGGAACGCUGAGACAGGUGCUGCAUGGCUGUCGUCAGCUCGUGUUGUGAAAUGUUGGGUUAAGUCCCGCAACGAGCGCAACCCUUAUCCUUUGUUGCCAGCACGUAAUGGUGGGAACUCAAAGGAGACUGCCGGUGAUAAACCGGAGGAAGGUGGGGAUGACGUCAAGUCAUCAUGGCCCUUACGAGUAGGGCUACACACGUGCUACAAUGGCGCAUACAAAGAGAAGCGACCUCGCGAGAGCAAGCGGACCUCACAAAGUGCGUCGUAGUCCGGAUCGGAGUCUGCAACUCGACUCCGUGAAGUCGGAAUCGCUAGUAAUCGUGGAUCAGAAUGCCACGGUGAAUACGUUCCCGGGCCUUGUACACACCGCCCGUCACACCAUGGGAGUGGGUUGCAAAAGAAGUAGGUAGCUUAACCUUCG
rnacentral:rRNA from 1 species